CAGGGAGACAACAAAUUGAUUGUGAUGUCUAAGUGAUUUAUUCUUAGGCCGCAAUCCUGUCACCUUAAGGUCGAUCGGUACCUCAGAUUUGUGAAUUAAUUUUAUAAUUAGUUUAUUGAUUUCAGUUCCUAAACUUGUCUAGGUCACACCCAACAAAGGUUUCUCCUGGGCCAUUAGCUCAGGUGGUUAGAGCGCACCCCUGAUAAGGGUGAGGUCCCUGGUUCAAGUCCAGGAUGGCCCAUUCGUUGUUGGGGGUAUAGCUCAGUUGGUAGAGCGCCUGCUUUGCAAGCAGGAUGUCAGCGGUUCGAGUCCGCUUACCUCCACGGAACACUAUCCUGAUAACUUAAUUACCGGAGAAAAAUUGUAAUUUGGCUUAGAUUUGUCCUUCUGAAAAGAACCUAGCUUCUUAUCAUCAUCAUUUUGAUUGUUGAUAAUAUGCUGGGCUCCCAUGGUUUUAUCCAUGAGAAUUCAGUAGAACCUUGAAAACUGCAUAGAUUAGAAAGAAUAAAGCAUCUCAUGGAUGCAUAAUUUUGGUUUAUUUUCUUAGUCUAAAAACUAAGUGAUAAAUUCCAGGAUUCAUGUUUAAUCAUUGAGUAAUAGCCGAGCACAAUUGAUUUUGUGUUUGUAUUUAA
rnacentral:tRNA from 1 species